rnacentral:rRNA from 1 species
UGUAUAAUGGGUCAGCGACUUAUAUUCAGUGGCAAGGUUAACCGUAUAGGGGAGCCGUAGCGAAAGCGAGUCUUAACUGGGCGCUCAGUCUCUGGAUAUAGACCCGAAACCGGGUGAUCUAGCCAUGGGCAGGUUGAAGGUUGAGUAACAUCAACUGGAGGACCGAACCGACUAAUGUUGAAAAAUUAGCGGAUGACUUGUGGCUAGGGGUGAAAGGCCAAUCAAACUCGGAGAUAGCUGGUUCUCCCCGAAAGCUAUUUAGGUAGCGCCUCGGACGAAUACUACUGGGGGUAGAGCACUGUUAAGGCUAGGGGGUCAUCCCGACUUACCAACCCUUUGCAAACUCCGAAUACCAGUAAGUACUAUCCGGGAGACACACGGCGGGUGCUAACGUCCGUCGUGGAGAGGGAAACAACCCAGACCGCCAGCUAAGGUCCCAAAGUAUUGCUAAGUGGGAAACGAUGUGGGAAGGCUCAGACAGCUAGGAUGUUGGCUUAGAAGCAGCCAUCAUUUAAAGAAAGCGUAAUAGCUCACUAGUCGAGUCGGCCUGCGCGGAAGAUGUAACGGGGCUAAGCAAUACACCGAAGCUGCGGCAAUAUCUUUUAGAUAUUGGGUAGGGGAGCGUUCUGUAAGCCGUUGAAGGUAAAUCGUAAGGUUUGCUGGAGGUAUCAGAAGUGCGAAUGCUGACAUGAGUAACGACAAAGGGGGUGAAAAACCUCCUCGCCGGAAGACCAAGGGUUCCUGUCCAACGUUAAUCGGGGCAGGGUGAGUCGACCCCUAAGGUGAGGCCGAAAGGCGUAAUCGAUGGGAAACGGGUUAAUAUUCCCGUACUUCUGACUAUUGCGAUGGGGGGACGGAGAAGGCUAGGUGGGCCAGGCGACGGUUGUCCUGGUUCAAGUGCGUAGGCUUGAGAGUUAGGUAAAUCCGGCUCUCUCUAAGGCUGAGACACGACGUCGAGCUGCUACGGCAGUGAAGUCAUUGAUGCCAUGCUUCCAGGAAAAGCCUCUAAGCUUCAGAUAGUCAGGAAUCGUACCCCAAACCGACACAGGUGGUCGGGUAGAGAAUACCAAGGCGCUUGAGAGAACUCGGGUGAAGGAACUAGGCAAAAUGGUACCGUAACUUCGGGAGAAGGUACGCUCUUGAUGGUGAAGUCCCUCGCGGAUGGAGCUGACGAGAGUCGCAGAUACCAGGUGGCUGCAACUGUUUAUUAAAAACACAGCACUGUGCAAAAUCGCAAGAUGACGUAUACGGUGUGACGCCUGCCCGGUGCCGGAAGGUUAAUUGAUGGGGUUAGCGCAAGCGAAGCUCUUGAUCGAAGCCCCGGUAAACGGCGGCCGUAACUAUAACGGUCCUAAGGUAGCGAAAUUCCUUGUCGGGUAAGUUCCGACCUGCACGAAUGGCGUAAUGAUGGCCACGCUGUCUCCACCCGAGACUCAGUGAAAUUGAAAUCGCUGUGAAGAUGCAGUGUACCCGCGGCUAGACGGAAAGACCCCGUGAACCUUUACUACAGCUUGGCACUGAACAUUGAACCUACAUGUGUAGGAUAGGUGGGAGGCUAUGAAGACGUGACGCCAGUUGCGUUGGAGCCGUCCUUGAAAUACCACCCUUGUAUGUUUGAUGUUCUAACUUAGACCCAUUAUCUGGGUUGAGGACAGUGCCUGGUGGGUAGUUUGACUGGGGCGGUCUCCUCCCAAAGAGUAACGGAGGAGCACGAAGGUGGGCUAAUCACGGUUGGACAUCGUGAGGUUAGUGCAAUGGCAUAAGCCCGCUUAACUGCGAGAAUGACGGUUCGAGCAGGUGCGAAAGCAGGUCAUAGUGAUCCGGUGGUUCUGUAUGGAAGGGCCAUCGCUCAACGGAUAAAAGGUACUCCGGGGAUAACAGGCUGAUACCGCCCAAGAGUUCAUAUCGACGGCGGUGUUUGGCACCUCGAUGUCGGCUCAUCACAUCCUGGGGCUGAAGUCGGUCCCAAGGGUAUGGCUGUUCGCCAUUUAAAGUGGUACGCGAGCUGGGUUUAGAACGUCGUGAGACAGUUCGGUCCCUAUCUGCCGUGGGCGUUGGAAGAUUGAAGGGGGCUGCUCCUAGUACGAGAGGACCGGAGUGGACGAACCUCUGGUGUUCGGGUUGUGUCGCCAGACGCAUUGCCCGGUAGCUAAGUUCGGAAUUGAUAAGCGCUGAAAGCAUCUAAGCGCGAAGCGAGCCCUGAGAUGAGUCUUCCCUGAUACUUUAAGUAUCCUAAAGGGUUGUUCGAGACUAGAACGUUGAUAGGCAGGGUGUGUAAGCGUUGUGAGGCGUUGAGCUAACCUGUACUAAUUGCCCGUGAGGCUUAACCAU